UUAGGGUAAUGUAUAUACAACAGUAAUGUUAUGUACAGUAUAUAUGUAAUUCUAUAUGUAACAUUUUUGUUGUCUUAUAUUGCUCUCU
rnacentral:pre_miRNA from 1 species